CAUGCAGUGAUUAGGUCUAACCAUGAGGGCAAUGGCAAGCAAAAAAGGGGAAAAAAAGUGAGUGUGCACACUGAAAAUUUCCCGCAAACAAGUUGAGAACUGCCACCCUCCCCACAAAAAAAUGAAGAAACCCCCUCUCUAUACACUUCUCGUUCUAUAAGUACUCCUACACCAUGAACACCAAAGGGCAGCCCAGAACAACUACAGUCUUCUCAUCUUUUCCCAUUGUUCAAUAUUUGACCUGAACGCUACUACAGCCAACUCGAAUGAAACUGUGGAGCAUCAAGGAGCUGGAAUUGACUUGAGUCCUAAUCCGCAGCUGGAGGAAGCUGCACAUGGAGGAGACAAGGCCUAUCACGAUGCCGAACCUGUUGAUGACGGCGGUGCUGCCGCUGAUGGAGCUGCCAGUGCUUCUGCGGGCGAUGGACAAGGACCUCAUGCGGGGACAAAAUGGGCCCAUGGCAAGUUGUGGUCGGAAUCACCACACGCGGCCAUGCCAGGCUCGGUCUUGUCAAGCUUCAUGCGCUAGCCAACGCAACAAAAAGAUCGAUCUGAUGGAAAGGGCUAUGCAAUCCACUUAUACACUACAACACCCCCCCUCACGUGUGACGGAGAAGACGAGUCAACACGUGUAAACUCAAAGGUAUAGCUCAAGAGGCCAAUACGUGGACGGAGGGGGCACGAGCAAUUUUAGGAUAAAUUGCGAAAGCCAAUACUCGAACUUGAGACCUUUGGAUCUGAUACCAUGUCAAGCUUCAUGCGCUAGCCAACGCAACCAAAAGACCGAUCUGAUGGAAAGGUCUAUGCAAUCCACUUAUACACUACAACAGGUCUCGCAGCCUCACAGGCUGCAGCCGUGCCAUAUCCCAGUUCAGCGGCUGUGAACAUACCGGUGUCACCGGUCACGGGCAUGCUGGCCUCAGUACCACAGGCCGUGGCCAUGCCAUGCAUGUCGUCAAUGUGGCCGGUCUGCAAUACCGAGGCCUGCGUGCACAUUGUGUCACGAGCAUCUUGUCCAAAUACAAAUACGAUUUCAUAUAUCUAAUAAUGUUGGAGUAA